CUCAUUAAGUUGGUGAUUGCUGCCGAGGGAGCAGGAGAUGGGUGUUGUUCUGCCAUGGGUUUGGUUUUGUUGGAGCUCUGCUGCAGUGAAAUUCACUGUUGCACACGGUGUGAUCCUCCUGCUCCACUCUGAGCUCUCUGUGUACUUUUGAAGGGUUCGGAGCCUUCAGCCUCUUCGAGAAAAAAAACAACAUCCAUGGAGGAGAUGGGAGCUUUGCUGCUCCGGUCCUCGUGUAAUACCCAGAGAACAACCUGAGAGAUCCCAGGGAGGGCUGAGCUCUGAUAUCUUCCAUCUUCUGCUGCUGCACCAGAAAUGUGAGCAUCUAACUAAAAUACUGAGCACUGACUUCGUCUUUGGAAGAACAGAGCAGAAAAUGUAAUUGAACCAGCAAAUCAUCAAGUGUUUGGUGUCCUGGGUAGGGCAGAAGCCUUCAGAGAAAGGACUGCAGAGCUGUUUGCCAGCAUUUGCUGCUGGGUGAUGUCCCUGGGCUGAGGGACUUCUGUACAAUGUCAGCUCCA
rnacentral:lncRNA from 1 species